GACGUAGGGCGCGAGCGUUGUCCGGAUUUAUUGGGCGUAAAGAGCUCGUAGGCGGUUCGAUAAGUCGGGUGUGAAAACUUUGGGCUCAACCCAAAGCGUGCAUUCGAUACUGUUGUGACUAGAGUUCGGUAGGGGAGUGGGGAAUUCCUAGUGUAGCGGUGAAAUGCGCAGAUAUCAGGAGGAACACCGGUGGCGAAGGCGGAUCCCUGGGCCAUUACUGACGCUGAGACGCGAAAGCGUGGGGAGCGAACAGG
rnacentral:rRNA from 1 species